UACAGAGGGUGCGAGCGUUGUCCGGAAUCACUGGGCGUAAAGGGCGCGCAGGCGGCCGCUCAAGUCAGGCGUGAAAGCCCCGGGCUUAACCUGGGAACUGCGUCUGGGACUGAGUGGCUAGAGUUCGGGAGAGGAGAGUGGAAUUCCCAGUGUAGAGGUGAAAUUCGUAGAUAUUGGGAAGAACACCGGUGGCGAAGGCGGCUCUCUGGACCGAGACUGACGCUGAGGCGCGAAAGCGUGGGGAGCAAACAGG
rnacentral:rRNA from 1 species